rnacentral:rRNA from 1 species
CCUACGGGUGGCAGCAGUGAGGAAUAUUGGUCAAUGGGCAAGAGCCUGAACCAGCCAAGUCGCGUGAAGGAUGACUGCCCUAUGGGUUGUAAACUUCUUUUAUAUGGGAAUAAAAUGUUCCACGUGUGGGAUUUUGUAUGUACCAUAUGAAUAAGGAUCGGCUAACUCCGUGCCAGCAGCCGCGGUAAUACGGAGGAUCCGAGCGUUAUCCGGAUUUAUUGGGUUUAAAGGGAGCGUAGGUGGAUUGUUAAGUCAGUUGUGAAAGUUUGCGGCUCAACCGUAAAAUUGCAGUUGAAACUGGCAGUCUUGAGUACAGUAGAGGUAGGCGGAAUUCGUGGUGUAGCGGUGAAAUGCUUAGAUAUCACGAAGAACUCCGAUUGCGAAGGCAGCUCACUGGACUGCAACUGACACUGAGGCUCGAAAGUGUGGGUAUCAAACAGGAUUAGAUACCCUGGUAGUC